rnacentral:rRNA from 1 species
UACGGAGGAUGCAAGCGUUAUCCGGAAUGAUUGGGCGUAAAGCGUCCGCAGGUGGCUGUGUAAGUCUGCUGUUAAAGAGUGAGGCUCAACCUCAUAAAAGCAGUGGAAACUACACGGCUAGAGUGCGUUCGGGGCAGAGGGAAUUCCUGGUGUAGCGGUGAAAUGCGUAGAUAUCAGGAAGAACACCGGUGGCGAAAGCGCUCUGCUAGGCCGCAACUGACACUGAGGGACGAAAGCUGGGGGAGCGAAUGGG